rnacentral:rRNA from 1 species
UACAGAGGUCCCAAGCGUUGUUCGGAUUCACUGGGCGUAAAGGGUGCGUAGGUGGUGAGGUAAGGUCGGAUGUGAAAUCUCCGAGCUCAACUCGGAAAUGGCAUUGGAAACUACCUUGCUCGAGGGUUGGAGGGGGACUGGAAUGCUUGGUGUAGGCAGUGAAAUGCGUAGAUAUCAAGCGGAACACCAGUGGCGAAGGCGAGUCCCUGGACAACUCCUGACACUGAGGCAGCGAAAGCUAGGGGAGCAACAGGG